AUGGCGGGCCGCAACGGCUUCGAGGACGACGACGUCAACCCCUUCGCCGGAGGGAGUGUCCCCCCUGCCUCCAAUUCUCGACUCUCACCUCUCUCCCACGAGCCUGCGGGUUUUUAUAAUGUGGACAUUCCUAUGGAUUCAACUAAGGAUGUGAAGAAAAAGGAAAAAGAACUCCAAGCGAUGGAAGCCGAGCUAAACAAAAGAGAAAAGGAACUGAAAAGGAAGGAAGAGGCUGCGUCGCGAGCUGGCAUUGUCAUAGAAGACAAAAACUGGCCACCCUUUUUCCCUCUCAUUCAUCACAAUAUUUCAAAUGAGAUACCCAUCCAUCUACAAAAAAUGCAGUACCUUGCAUUUUCAUCAUUUUUGGGAAUUGCUCUCUGCCUCUUCUUUAAUAUCAUAGCGACUACAACUGCAUGGAUUAAGGGAGAAGGUGUCAUGGUUUGGUUGCUUGCCAUUAUCUACUUCAUAUCUGGUGUCCCUGGGGCUUAUGUGUUAUGGUAUCGCCCUCUUUAUAAUGCGAUGAGAACUGAGAGUGCUUUGAAGUUUGGGUGGUUUUUCCUAUUUUACAUGAUUCACAUAAUCUUCUGCGUGUGGUCAGCUGUGUCUCCCCCAUUCCCUUUCAAAGGAAAUUCUUUGACUGGGAUUUUGCCUGCCAUUGAUGUCAUAACCAAGAGCCUUAUUGUUGGGAUAUUUUACUUUGUUGGAUUUGGAUUGUUCUGCCUUGAAUCACUGCUGAGCAUAGGUGUCAUUCAGCAAGUGUACAUGUACUUCCGUGGAAGUGGAAAAUCCCAGGAGUUGAAACAACAGGCAGCACGUGGUGCCCUGAGCUCUGCGUUCUGA
rnacentral:rRNA from 1 species